rnacentral:rRNA from 1 species
UACGUAGGGUGCGAGCGUUGUCCGGAAUUAUUGGGCGUAAAGAGCUCGUAGGCGGUUUGUCACGUCUGCUGUGAAAUCCCGAGGCUCAACCUCGGGCCUGCAGUGGGUACGGGCAGACUAGAGUGUGGUAGGGGAGACUGGAAUUCCUGGUGUAGCGGUGAAAUGCGCAGAUAUCGGGAGGAACACCGGUGGCGAAGGCGGUUCUCUGGGCCUUACCUGACGCUGAGGAGCGAAAGCGUGGGGAGCGAACAGG